AAAUUGAAGAGUUUGAUCAUGGCUCAGAUUGAACGCUGGCGGCAGGCCUAACACAUGCAAGUCGAACGGUAACAGGAAGCAGCUUGCUGCUUCGCUGACGAGUGGCGGACGGGUGAGUAAUGUCUGGGAAACUGCCUGAUGGAGGGGGAUAACUACUGGAAACGGUGGCUAAUACCGCAUAACGUCGCAAGACCAAAGAGGGGGACCUUCGGGCCUCUUGCCAUCAGAUGUGCCCAGAUGGGAUUAGCUAGUUGGUGAGGUAACGGCUCACCAAGGCGACGAUCCCUAGCUGGUCUGAGAGGAUGACCAGCCACACUGGAACUGAGACACGGUCCAGACUCCUACGGGAGGCAGCAGUGGGGAAUAUUGCACAAUGGGCGCAAGCCUGAUGCAGCCAUGCCGCGUGUAUGAAGAAGGCCUUCGGGUUGUAAAGUACUUUCAGCGGGGAGGAAGGUGUUGUGGUUAAUAACCGCAGCAAUUGACGUUACCCGCAGAAGAAGCACCGGCUAACUCCGUGCCAGCAGCCGCGGUAAUACGGAGGGUGCAAGCGUUAAUCGGAAUUACUGGGCGUAAAGCGCACGCAGGCGGUCUGUCAAGUCGGAUGUGAAAUCCCCGGGCUCAACCUGGGAACUGCAUUCGAAACUGGCAGGCUUGAGUCUUGUAGAGGGGGGUAGAAUUCCAGGUGUAGCGGUGAAAUGCGUAGAGAUCUGGAGGAAUACCGGUGGCGAAGGCGGCCCCCUGGACAAAGACUGACGCUCAGGUGCGAAAGCGUGGGGAGCAAACAGGAUUAGAUACCCUGGUAGUCCACGCCGUAAACGAUGUCUACUUGGAGGUUGUGCCCUUGAGGCGUGGCUUCCGGAGCUAACGCGUUAAGUAGACCGCCUGGGGAGUACGGCCGCAAGGUUAAAACUCAAAUGAAUUGACGGGGGCCCGCACAAGCGGUGGAGCAUGUGGUUUAAUUCGAUGCAACGCGAAGAACCUUACCUGGUCUUGACAUCCACAGAAGAAUCCAGAGAUGGAUUUGUGCCUUCGGGAACUGUGAGACAGGUGCUGCAUGGCUGUCGUCAGCUCGUGUUGUGAAAUGUUGGGUUAAGUCCCGCAACGAGCGCAACCCUUAUCCUUUGUUGCCAGCGAUUAGGUCGGGA
rnacentral:rRNA from 1 species